GCCUUUUUCAGAAUACAUUUCACCAAUUUUAAGAAGUCCCUGACAUCAUAACCUUGUUUCCUUCUAAUGAACCUGGAACUGUAGAGUAAAUAUUGUUGACUCUGUGUCAGAUUGCUUGUUUUGUUCCCGGAUUCUUCAGUGAUGACGAUCAGAGUCUGAGUGAACCUGCUGUCAGACAGGUUGGCCUGAUUGACGAUGCCAUCGUCCAUCGCCGAUGGCUGAUAGACAUCACGAUGCUGCGCCGGAAACAGCGU